CUUUUGAUUAUGGCUCAGGAUGAACGCUAGCUACAGGCUUAACACAUGCAAGUCGAGGGGAAACGACAUCGAAAGCUUGCUUUUGAUGGGCGUCGACCGGCGCACGGGUGAGUAACGCGUAUCCAACCUGCCCACCACUUGGGGAUAACCUUGCGAAAGUAAGACUAAUACCCAAUGAUAUCUCUAGAAGACAUCUGAAAGAGAUUAAAGAUUUAUCGGUGAUGGAUGGGGAUGCGUCUGAUUAGCUUGUUGGCGGGGUAACGGCCCACCAAGGCGACGAUCAGUAGGGGUUCUGAGAGGAAGGUCCCCCACAUUGGAACUGAGACACGGUCCAAACUCCUACGGGAGGCAGCAGUGAGGAAUAUUGGUCAAUGGACGAGAGUCUGAACCAGCCAAGUAGCGUGCAGGAUGACGGCCCUAUGGGUUGUAAACUGCUUUUAUAAGGGAAUAAAGUGAGAGUCGUGACUCUUUUUGCAUGUACCUUAUGAAUAAGGACCGGCUAAUUCCGUGCCAGCAGCCGCGGUAAUACGGAAGGUCCGGGCGUUAUCCGGAUUUAUUGGGUUUAAAGGGAGCGUAGGCCGGAGAUUAAGCGUGUUGUGAAAUGUAGACGCUCAACGUCUGCACUGCAGCGCGAACUGGUUUCCUUGAGUACGCACAAAGUGGGCGGAAUUCGUGGUGUAGCGGUGAAAUGCUUAGAUAUCACGAAGAACUCCGAUUGCGAAGGCAGCUCACUGGAGCGCAACUGACGCUGAAGCUCGAAAGUGCGGGUAUCGAACAGGAUUAGAUACCCUGGUAGUCCGCACGGUAAACGAUGGAUGCCCGCUGUUGGUCUGAAUAGGUCAGCGGCCAAGCGAAAGCAUUAAGCAUCCCACCUGGGGAGUACGCCGGCAACGGUGCAACUCAAAUGAAUUGACGGA
rnacentral:rRNA from 2 species